AACAGGAUUAGAUACCCUGGUAGUCCACGCCGUAAACGAUGUCGACUUGGAGGUUGUGCCCUUGAGGCGUGGCUUCCGGAGCUAACGCGUUAAGCCGACCGCCUGGGGAGUACGGCCGCAAGGUUAAAACUCAAAUGAAUUGACGGGGGCCCGCACAAGCGGUGGAGCAUGUGGUUUAAUUCGAUGCAACGCGAAGAACCUUACCUACUCUUGACAUCCAGAGAAUUUAGCAGAGAUGCUUUGGUGCCUUCGGGAACUCUGAGACAGGUGCUGCAUGGCUGUCGUCAGCUCGUGUUGUGAAAUGUUGGGUUAAGUCCCGCAACGAGCGCAACCCUUAUCCUUUGUUGCCAGCGGUUAGGCCGGGAACUCAAAGGAGACUGCCAGUGAUAAACUGGAGGAAGGUGGGGAUGACGUCAAGUCAUCAUGGCCCUUACGAGUAGGGCUACACACGUGCUACAAUGGCAUAUACAAAGAGAAGCGACCUCGCGAGAGCAAGCGGACCUCAUAAAGUAUGUCGUAGUCCGGAUUGGAGUCUGCAACUCGACUCCAUGAAGUCGGAAUCGCUAGUAAUCGUGGAUCAGAAUGCCACGGUGAAUACGUUCCCGGGCCUUGUACACACCGCCCGUCACACCAUGGGAGUGGGUUGCAAAAGAAGUAGGUAGCUUAACCUUCGGGAGGGCGCUUACCACUUUGUGAUUCAUGACUGGGGUGAAGUCGUAACAAGGUAACC
rnacentral:rRNA from 1 species